rnacentral:lncRNA from 1 species
GCUUCCCGCCUAGUGAGCGCACCUUGGACCCCUGCGGCUUUUCUGAGCCGAAACUCACGGGCUGUGGCCGGCUUCGUUUCGCGUCGUGCAGCUCCGCGACCGCCCGUGGCCACACCAGUCGGGGACUUCGUGCUUUACGAUGGGGGUGCAGCGGUCUGGCACGCGCAGGACCCCGGGCCUUGCACCCCAACUCUGGCCGCCCUGGACCCGCGGCGGGGACCCGCGCAGUCAGGGUACCUGCCCAUACCGAUGGGGUGGGGACCAGCACGGAGACUUUCCUUCACUCCGCGGCUUCUGUUCCUUUCAGGACGGACAGCGCCCACCCGGAGGAAAGCCUGACAGACGAGACUUCGCAAGAUCACCCAGCAACCAGGACACCCCUCCAGGACCAGGACUACAGCCAGGGUCUGUGUAUGCAGACGUGGCCGGGCCUGGCCGGCCUGCCCUAACUGGAAAGGAGGUCAAGCCGCGCACCUAAGGCUGGGCUGGCACCUCCGCUGAGCCAGCUCUGGGUCUGCAGGGGUUGGGGGGGGGUCUCUGGCAACUGGACCCUGAGUUCCUGCAACCCCUUCCUUUGCUCUCCUUGCCUGGGGGGAGAGUGAGGAGAGACUGGCUCUUCUGCUCAUGGUGUCCUUGGUCCCCGACCUCUGGAUGGCCAUGUCUCCACCCCCCACGGAGUCACCACCCAGCCUCACGAAUUCCUGGUCAUCUUGAAAAACCCAGUGCAGUGGUCAGGUCCCCACAGGAUCUCAGGGGCUCUGCCAGAGCCCCGGUCCAGCGGUCAGGCCCCCACCAACUGUGGUCACGGUGCACCUCCGUCCCCGGCAUGGGGGGCCCUGACCCCCUACACCAGCCUGUUGGGCCCCUGGCAGGGUCUGCUGAGGCCUCUGCGCCUGGCACAGCUCCCACCUCUGCUUAGGAAGGGCAAACCCUGGGCUCUGACUCUUGCCCCAGCGUUGUGAGGUGACUGAGAGGCUGCCCCAGGAAAGCAGAGAGUGAUGGUGACUCAGGGGACCCCCAUGUCCUUGCCCAGAACUCCCCAGGGGUUCAGCCGACCUACUGCCACCAGUUCCCAGUGGAAGCCCCUCAGCCCCCAGGUGUGAGGGCAUGGGCAGUGGGGCAGGGCAGGAGCCUGGAUG